AGCGAACGCUGGCGGCAGGCUUAACACAUGCAAGUCGAACGCCCCGCAAGGGGAGUGGCAGACGGGUGAGUAACACGUGGGAACGUACCCUUUGGUUCGGAAUAACUUGGGGAAACUCAAGCUAAUACCGGAUAAGCCCUUAUGGGGAAAGGUUUACUGCCGAAGGAUCGGCCCGCGCCUGAUUAGCUAGUUGGUGGGGUAAUGGCUCACCAAGGCGACGAUCAGUAGCUGGUCUGAGAGGAUGAUCAGCCACACUGGGACUGAGACACGGCCCAGACUCCUACGGGAGGCAGCAGUGGGGAAUAUUGGACAAUGGGGGCAACCCUGAUCCAGCCAUGCCGCGUGAGUGAUGAAGGCCUUAGGGUUGUAAAGCUCUUUUACCCGGGACGAUAAUGACUGUACCGGGAGAAUAAGCCCCGGCUGACUUCGUGCCAGCAGCCGCCGUAA
rnacentral:rRNA from 1 species